rfam:Candidatus Filomicrobium marinum strain Y genome assembly, chromosome: 1
CAGUGGGACACCUCCCCCCAACGGGAGGCUGCUACUUGGAAGGGUAGUGUAC